GAUGAACGCUGGCGGCGUGCCUAAUACAUGCAAGUCGAGCGAACAGACGAGGAGAUUGCUCCUCUGACGUUAGCGGCGGACGGGUGAGUAACACGUGGAUAACCUACCUAUAAGACUGGGAGAAAUUCGGGAAAACGGAGCUAAUACCGGAUAAUAUAUUGAACCGCAUGGUUCAAUAGUGAAAGACGGUUUUGCUGUCACUUAUAGAUGGAUCCGCGCCGCAUUAGCUAGUUGGUAAGGUAACGGCUUACCAAGGCAACGAUGCGUAGCCGACCUGAGAGAGUGAUCGGCCACACUGGAACUGAGACACGGUCCAGACUCCUACGGGGGGCAGCAGUAGGGAAUCUUCCGCAAUGGGCGAAGGCCUGACGGAGCAUCGCCGCGUGAGUGAUGAAGGUCUUCGGAUCGUAAAACUCUGUUAUUAGGAAAGAACAAAUGUGUAAGUAACUAUGCACGUCUUGACGGUACCUAAGCAGAAAGCCACGGCUAACUACGU
rnacentral:rRNA from 1 species